GUGGGGAAUAUUAGACAAUGGGGGAAACCCUGAUCUAGCCAUGCCGCGUGAUCGAUGAAGGCCUUAGGGUUGUAAAGAUCUUUCAGGUGGGAAGAUAAUGACUGUACCACCAGAAGAAGCCCCGGCUAACUCCGUGCCAGCAGCCGCGGUAAUACGGAGGGGGCUAGCGUUGUUCGGAAUUACUGGGCGUAAAGCGCACGUAGGCGGAUUGGAAAGUUGGGGGUGAAAUCCCGGGGCUCAACCCCGGAACUGCCUUCAAAACUCCCAGUCUUGAGUUCGAGAGAGGUGAGUGGAAUUCCGAGUGUAGAGGUGAAAUUCGUAGAUAUUCGGAGGAACACCAGUGGCGAAGGCGGCUCACUGGCUCGAUACUGACGCUGAGGUGCGAAAGCGUGGGGAGCAAACAGGAUUAGAAACCCUAGUAGUCC
rnacentral:rRNA from 1 species